CCUCCAGCACUAUCAGCAGCAGGAGCAGCAGCAACCCCUCAAUAGCAACAUUGUACCCAUCAGACAAACAGGACGAGGAAGGGUGUUGAGCCUGCAGGAGUGUUCCAGAAUGCUGGCAGGUGGAGAUCGGGCAGGCAGAGCGAGGAGAAGCAGGUGGAGGCCAUGGCUGCUAUGGAGGAACUGGCUGGUUGCUGACUUCCAAAGGGUGAACAACCAAGAGAAGGGAGGGAUGGAGCCUAUUCAAGCGACCACAGGGUGAGAGGUAGGGUA